rnacentral:lncRNA from 1 species
GGGCGGCGUGGCUGUCGGGAAAGAAGGGCUGGGGCCUGCCGUUCUUCCUCCCGAGUAUCCCCUCCAGCUGGACGACCCCACGCUGCAGCACGGGCUUCCGGCUUCUCUCCUCAGUGGCCAAUUCGAGGGCACAGCGGGCUCCGGAGGCGCGGCGGCAAGCCUAUCCCGCCUCCCAACCACAGCCUCCAGCACCCGAGAGAACGGCCGCCCACAGCACACGUUCUCCGGACAGGAGGGCGAAGGCCCAAGACCUGGAGAGAUGGGCAGCUCUCAAAAAAGGCACAAACAAUUGAAGGAUGGAUACCAUGGCAUAUGUUAAAAGCGUGUUGAAAGGAAAAUAAGAAAGCCAGGAAUCUCAGGAUGAAUCAGUCUAGAUCGAGAUCAGAUGGUGGCAGUGAAGAAACCUUACCUCAAGACCAUAAUCAUCAUGAAAAUGAGAGAAGAUGGCAGCAAGAGCGUCUCCACAGAGAAGAGGCCUAUUAUCAGUUUAUUAAUGAACUCAAUGAUGAAGAUUAUCGGCUUAUGAGAGACCAUAAUCUUUUAGGCACCCCUGGAGAAAUAACAUCAGAAGAACUGCAACAGCGGUUAGAUGGCGUCAAGGAACAACUAGCAUCUCAGCCUGACUUGAGAGAUGGAACGAAUUACAGAGACUCAGAAGUCCCUAGAGAAAGUUCACAUGAAGAUUCUCUUCUAGAAUGGUUGAACACCUUUCGGCGCACAGGAAAUGCAACUCGAAGUGGACAAAAUGGGAACCAAACUUGGAGAGCUGCUUUGCCAGAUACAAGCUGAAGUGCUACCAGAAAACCAGUUGUUAAGUCUAUCUGGAAAAAUAGACUGUGAAGCACCUCAUCUUCAUUUCAAUAGCUUCGCUGGAACCUGGAGCCUAAGGGGUAAAAUGUAUUAUCUUUCUCUUCACAAACAGUUUUUUUUCUUUUAUGGAACAUAGAAUAUGACAACAUUUGUUUUGUCAACUGAUUACAUUUUAAAACAUUGUACUUGUUCAUAUUGUACUUGGCUUUGAAAUACCCUGAAGCAUCUAUGGAAUUGUAAUUUAUUGUAAUGCAAUAAGCAUUUAUGUAAUUAAAAAAAAGCAUUCUUAAAUAUG